GACGAACGCUGGCGGCGUGCCUAAUACAUGCAAGUCGAACGAGUGGCGGACGGUUGAUUAACACGUGGGGACCUACCCAUCAGAGGGGUAUAACACUUGGAAACAGGUGCUAAUACCGCAUACUGGUGGAUGUACUCGCGGUGCAUUAGCUAGUUGGUGAGGUAACUGCUAACCAAGUCCACGAUGCAUAGCCGACCUGAGAGGAUGACCAGCCACACUGGAACUGAGACACGGCCCAGACUCCUACGGGAGGCAGCAGUGGGGAAUAUUGCACAAUGGGCGCAAGCCUGAUGCAGCCAUGCCGCGUGUAUGAAGAAGGCCGUAGGGUUGUAAAGUACUUUCAGUCGGGAGGCGUUACCGACAGAAGAAGCACCGGCUAACUCCGUGCCAGCAGCCGCGGUAAUAC
rnacentral:rRNA from 1 species